ACCCUUCUCUGAAUUAAACUCUGUAAUCUUCGUGAGAAUUUUCUCUUGUCUAAACCUCCAAGCUUGUUCUUCUAUUCUGUUUCUUCUUCUUUUUUUCACAGUAUCCCUUGAUUCAUCCAUCCUUGCUUCUCUUGUACGCCCCAUCCAUUCCUCAUGAUACUCUCCUACACUGACUCUAAACCACCACCACUAGUUUCCUUAUCAAAGCAAAUAUGUCCAACAAAAACCCGCACCAGCGCGCCCCGCGCCAAUCAGUGCCUCUCCGCAGCGCGCUCCGCGCUAGCCCAUUAGUAAUCGGCCAUACUCCAGCGUGCUCCGCGCCCAUCUGCCUCUUAACACAGCGCGCUCCGCACUUAGCCAACAGCAACUUGCAAUGUCACUCAAAAUAUCCUCACAUGCUCCUAAUUGCUGACGAAUCUGC
rnacentral:lncRNA from 1 species